rnacentral:rRNA from 1 species
UACGUAGGGGGCAAGCGUUGUCCGGAUUUAUUGGGCGUAAAGAGCGUGUAGGCGGUUAGGUACGGUCCGUUGUGAAAACUCGAGGCUCAACCUCGAGACGCCGAUGGAAACCAUCUAACUAGAGUCCGGAAGAGGAGAGUGGAAUUCCCGGUGUAGCGGUGAAAUGCGCAGAUAUCGGGAAGAACACCCGUGGCGAAGGCGGCUCUCUGGGACGGUACUGACGCUGAGACGCGAAAGCGUGGGGAGCGAACAGG